rnacentral:tRNA from 1 species
GCAGUGGUGGUUCAGUGGUAGAAUUCUUGUCCUCUGUGCCAGAGAGACCUGAGCUUGAUUCCCAGCCAGUGCA